GUGGCCUAGUUGGUACAGUGUCUGGCUCGCAACCAGAGAAUUGUGGGUUUGAAUCCCGCC
rnacentral:tRNA from 1 species